UACGGAGGGAGCUAGCGUUGUUCGGAAUUACUGGGCGUAAAGCGCACGUAGGCGGCUUUGUAAGUUAGAGGUGAAAGCCCGGGGCUCAACUCCGGAACUGCCUUUAAGACUGCAUCGCUUGAAUCCGGGAGAGGUGAGUGGAAUUCCGAGUGUAGAGGUGAAAUUCGUAGAUAUUCGGAAGAACACCAGUGGCGAAGGCGGCUCACUGGACCGGUAUUGACGCUGAGGUGACGAAAGCGUGGGGAGCAAACAGG
rnacentral:rRNA from 1 species